rnacentral:rRNA from 1 species
GAUGAACGCUGGCGGCGUGCCUAAUACAUGCAAGUCGAGCGAACGGACGAGAAGCUUGCUUCUCUGAUGUUAGCGGCGGACGGGUGAGUAACACGUGGAUAACCUACCUAUAAGACUGGGAUAACUUCGGGAAACCGGAGCUAAUACCGGAUAAUAUUUUGAACCGCAUGGUUCAAAAGUGAAAGACGGUCUUGCUGUCACUUAUAGAUGGAUCCGCGCUGCAUUAGCUAGUUGGUAAGGUAACGGCUUACCACGGCAACGAUGCAUAGCCGACCGGAGAGGGUGAUCGGCCACACUGGAACUGAGACACGGUCCAGACUCCUACGGGAGGCAGCAGUAGGGAAUCUUCCGCAAAGGGCGAAAGCCUGACGGAGCAACGCCGCGUGAGUGAUGAAGGUCUUCGGAUCGUAAAACUCUGUUAUUAGUGAAGAACAUAUGUGUAAGUAACUGUGCACAUCUUGACGGUACCUAAUCAGAAAGCCACGGCUAACUACGUG